CCUGCCGUAUGCAGGGGGAUAACAGUUAGAAAUGACUGCUAAUACCGCAUAAGCGCACAGUAUCGCAUGAUACAGUGUGAAAAACGAUAGUGGCAUACGAUGGACCCGCGUUUGAUUAGCUAGUUGGCGGGGUAACGGCCCACCAAGGCGACGAUCAGUAGCCGGCCUGAGAGGGUGAACGGCCACAUUGGAACUGAGACACGGUCCAAACUCCUACGGGAGGCAGCAGUGGGGGAUAUUGCACAAUGGGGGAAACCCUGAUGCAGCGACGCCGCGUGAGUGAAGAAGUAUUUCGGUAUGUAAAGCUCUAUCAGCAGGAAAGAUAAUGACGGUACCUGACUAAGAAGCACCGGCUAAAUACGUGCCAGCAGCCGCGGUAAUACGUAUGGUGCAAGCGUUAUCCGGAUUUACUGGGUGUAAAGGGAGCGCAGACGGCAUGGCAAGCCAGAUGUGAAAGGUGGGGGCUCAACCCCCAAGCUGCAUUUGGAACUGUCAAGCUAGAGUAUCGGAGAGGUAAGUGGAAUUCCUAGUGUAGCGGUGAAAUGCGUAGAUAUUAGGAGGAACACCAGUGGCGAAGGCGGCUUACUG
rnacentral:rRNA from 1 species